UACGUAGGGUGCAAGCGUUAAUCGGAAUUACUGGGCGUAAAGGGUGCGUAGGCGGUUCGUUAAGUCUGUUGUGAAAUCCCCGGGCUCAACCUGGGAAUGGCAAUGGAUACUGGCGGGCUAGAGUGUGUCAGAGGAUGGUGGAAUUCCCGGUGUAGCGGUGAAAUGCGUAGAGAUCGGGAGGAACAUCAGUGGCGAAGGCGGCCAUCUGGGGCAACACUGACGCUGAAGCACGAAAGCGUGGGGAGCAAACAGG
rnacentral:rRNA from 1 species